rfam:Sarcophilus harrisii ctg7180002431581, whole genome shotgun sequence.
CUGGUUCUUGCUUCAACAGUGUUUGGAUGGAACAAG